AGGUCUUUUGCGUGGAAAAUCCCAACAGGCUUCCCCCCCAGAUCCUCCAAAUCGUAGGCAUUGUUCCCUAUAGGGAGACCGACUCGGCAUUUCACAUAUUUUCGAGCAAACUUGGCAUUGUACAUCUUUCCAAAAUUGCUCUGAGUGAAAUUGCGUCUGUAGUUUUCUUGGCCUUGGCAUGGAAAACUCGAGCCCGUUUGUUAUAGCGCUGGUUGCUGUAUUCAUAUGCCUGAUGAAGAUUUUUCCGGAUGUGAUCGCGGAUAAGUUGGCGCUUAUCUACUGGAUCUAGCUUCGUUAUUUGAUGUUCUGUCAAGGACUGCAGUUUUCUUGCCAGUCGACAAUCGACACUUCUAUUUCCGUUUUGAUUCCUUGCAUUUGGUGCAAUUCCGGACAUACUCCCGCACUUGUGUCGUCAUAGCCGGCCAGUAGAAAUGACGUUUUAGACGAUGAAGUGUCUUUUUCAUCCCCCCGUGUGCAGCUUUGUGAUCCUCGUGCGCGUUCGCUACCACUUCCUGCAUCGCUGGUGAUAGCGGAUAACAACGAUCCUUAAACGGUACUGCGCCCCCCACCAACUGGAUAUAGUGCUGUUCUGCUGCAGUCGUUCCUAGCCCAGCUUCUUCGUCCCAAGUUCUACCUCCGUUUCUUGUCUUCUAUCUUCCGCAUAGUGGCUGAUCUCGGACAUCUUGACUUCAGCUACUUGGGCGUGACUGGAUUCGCUGUUUUCGUCGCCUAGAACUGCUGGAGCCAACUCAAAAAUCUCCAGAUAUCGAUACCCAAGUACAUCGAUUGUUCCAGAUCUGUCUUCGCGACGAACACAUAUCCUUCCAUCUCUACCCCGAGUUCGGCCAUCAGUUCCCUACUGUCUUCGCCCAGUAGACUUACAGAGGCUCCUGUAUCCAGCAGUCCCGCAAUCUUCCGGCCGUUCUCGUUCCACGUUGGACUGAUUCGCCACCUACUUGCGCGUUUGUCGCCUUAGAGCGUGAACGGGUCUUUAGAACCCUGCGGCUGACUCCCCGCAUACCUGCAAGCUGUCUGGCGUCGAAAAUCCUGUUUCCGACUUCCCUAUAUCUUUUCAUUCUUUCCUCGGCUGGUAGAAACCUUAACUUAUUAAUAC